CUACUUAGCGGCGAACGGGUGAGUAUACUUGGAUAACCUGCCUUAAGGUCUGGGACAACUACAGGAAACUGUAGCUAAUACCGGAUAUGACCACACUUACCAAGGUAAGAGUGGUAAAAGAUUUAUCUGCCUUUAGAAUGGGUCCAAGCUCGCAUCACGGUUGUUGUGUGGGGUAAUGGCCUACCAAGCCUAUGACGCGUAGCAGGUCUUAGCGGAUGAUCUGCCACAUGGGGACUGAGAUACGGCCCUGACUCCUACGGGAGGCAGCAGUGAGGAAUAUUGGGCAAUGGACGAAAGUCUGACCCAGCGAUGCCGCGUGAAGGAUGAAGGCCUUAGGGUUGUAAACUUCUGUCAGCAGGGAAGAUAAUGACGGUACCUGCAGAGGAAGCCCCGGCUAACUCCGUGCCAGCAGCCGCGGUAAUACGGAGGGGGCAAACGUUACUCGGAUUUACUGGGCGUAAAGGGUCCGUAGGCGGUUCUUUAAGUUAGAUGUGAAAGCUUGAAGCUUAACUUCAAAAUUGCAUCUAAAAACUGGAGAACUAGGUUCUUGGAGAGGUUGAUGGAAUUACCGGUGUAGCGGUGACAUGCGUAGAUAUCGGUAGGAACACCAGUGGCGAAAGCGAUCAACUGGCCAAGUAACGACGCUGAGGGACGAAAGCGUGGUAGCAACAGGAUAGAUACCUGGUAGUC
rnacentral:rRNA from 1 species